UACAGAGGUCUCAAGCGUUGUUCGGAUUCAUUGGGCGUAAAGGUGCGUAGGCGGCGCGGUAAGUCGGGUGUGAAAUCUUGGAGCUUAACUCCGAAACUGCAUUCGAUACUGCCGUGCUUGAGGACUGGAGAGGAGACUGGAAUUUACGGUGUAGCGGUGAAAUGCGUAGAUAUCGUAAGGAAGACCAGUGACGAAGGCGGGUCUCUGGACAGUUCCUGACGCUGAGGCGCGAAGGCCAGGGGAGCAAACGGG
rnacentral:rRNA from 1 species